AUGAGUUACAUGGAGCAGUGUGGUUCUCGAAAUGGGAUCUACGGUCAGGAUACCAUCAAAUACACUUGGCACCAGGUGAAGUACAAAACAGCGUUCAAAACCGAUUCAGGCCACUAUGAAUUCAAGGUGGGCAUAUUUCCUUCAUUGGCUGGGGGUCCGACCACAUUCAAUGGAGGACUCCAUACCACACUCCAAUCCCUGCUCCGCCACUGUGUGUUGCUGUUCUUCGACGGCAUUCUCAUCUUCAGCAAAACUCUAGAAGAUCAUGCCAGUGAUCUGUGA
rnacentral:rRNA from 1 species